GUGCCGCUUAAGUUCACAAAAACCAAAGAUAUUAUCAGCUCUUUUGAAGAUACAAGAUUGUGCGGACACCGAAAAUGAAGUCAGCUCAGAUGCUUAGAUAUGCUGUUCGUUUAAACUAUAUGCAGGUCAAUAAAAUUGCUACGAAGCCAGCGGAUCACGCAACUACUAGAUCAGCGGCUCUGUUGGCAGCUCUUGGCAUUGGGCUCUCGUCGUUCAGCAUGAAGCAAAUGCUUAAAAAAUCAAGCAAAACUAAAAUUUAAUCAUAA